ACCAUCGGUAAAAGCUCCAUACUAUUAACUGCAGUCUUACCAUUGCCGCUAAAGGUUUUUCCAAAAAAAAAGUUAAAUGAGAUUUGAACCCACAACCCUUUGGAUAGUACCCAAGCACUUAACCACUCAGCUACACAAAAAUAUGUGUUUAUUACGAAAAUUAUAAUAUUUCUACUAUACAACAACAUUAUUACCACGGUUUUUGGCUUACAGCUGUACAUAGUACUUUUACCUGUGGUUUCAUAUUGUUGUCGUUAAUAGUCACCAUUACCGGCGAUUUUAUUGUACGGUGGUUUGUCUUUAUCCCUGGUAAUUGCGCCCUUUACCGACGGAUUUAUUAUCACAGGUAAAAAAAAAAAACCGCCAAUAAAGGCUAUUUUUGGCAUAGUAUAUGUAGACUCCCACAAUGAGUCGGGUGUUAUGCUUUCUUUUCUCUUAUCUGUUGAGUAUUCAAUUUAUUUCGGAUGUCUUUCGCACUAGCAUCUUCUUUAUGUUUAUUUCAAUUAAACGACGUAACUUUUGGAUGUACAGGAAGCCAACAAUUGCAGAUCAUGCUCUGGAAAGUGUUUAAAUUUAUGGUGCCUCCAGUCAAACACAUCCAAGAGCAAAAACAAAUGCAUCUUGAAGCACUUACACUACUCAAAUGUGUAUGCGAGGAAAUUAGAUCUUCAAAUGACCCUAACGCUUACAAAUUUGCCGAAGAUGCAGUUAUUCUUGCAACAAGGUUAGGGAUUCACGAGGUUAUAGAAGAGAUCGUGGAUUCAUAUCCCGAGUUAAUUUGGACGAGGGACAAUAACAAUCAUAACUUAUUUCAACGAGAAGUUUUAGAUCGCCAUGAAAAUGUGUUCAACCUCUUAUAUCAAAUGACUGAUCAAAAAAAAUGGGUUACAAAGUUUAUGAGACAAUCAUGAGGACACUAUUUUGCACUUAGCCGGAAUAUUGGCACCUCGAAGAAAACUCGAUCUUGUUCCUGGUGCAGCUUUGCGGAUGCAACGUGAGUUACAAUGGUUUGAGAGCUGUGCGUGUACGAAUUGAGACCAUCACGACUGAUCCUGAAGAGGAAUGAAUGGAAAAAAUAGCAUGUCGUAUCAAUGGAGCAUUCUAAGAAAUUGCUCGUCCUGCUUAGCUAAACAACACGAGUAAAACUAGUAUUUGAUGUUAGACAGUCUUCCUUUCAUUUUUGUCAAUCGCAUUUGGCUUAGAUGUUUUGUUUAUUUUGAUAACAGAGCUAGGUUGGAAAAGGUUUUGGGCUAGACUCUUUCAUCGUUGAUUUGAUUGACGCUCCCUUGAGCCAAAAUUGCAGAUUGUUUGAUGGUAAUCAUUGUGAUAUGCAUCUGCUAUUACCAUCCACGUGAAUAGUCCUUUUCGAACCUAAUCCCACAUCAGUUGAAUAGUAUGAUCUGACUAGUACAUGAAUAUCGGCGGUAUCUCCGAUCAUUUAAGGGGGAAGAUGACUAAAACAUGCAAGUUACAGACUCUAACUACCAAUAAUGUAGAGGAGAUGAGAUAGGCAGUUGGUCAAAUCUAUUAUGAAUCAAGUAUUUUAUGGCAUUCAACAUUGCAAUUGCAAGUCUAUUUUUAGUGCGGUCGCAAAAAAGGACAUUAUGUUACCAAGUUACCAACGAAGGCACUCCGGGUCCAAGCCCAACAAUUUUAACUAUAACUCUUAUACAUCCAUACAUUUACAUACAUAUAUAUGUGCCUACAAUCCAGUUCAAGUAAU